rnacentral:rRNA from 1 species
AUUGAACGCUGGCGGCAGGCCUAACACAUGCAAGUCGAACGAGUGGCGGACGGGUGAGUAAUGUCUGGGAAACUGCCUGAUGGAGGGGGAUAACUACUGGAAACGGUAGCUAAUACCGCAUACCAUCAGAUGUUCCCAGAUGGGAUUAGCUUGUUGGUGGGGUAACGGCUCACCAAGGCGACGAUCCCUAGCUGGUCUGAGAGGAUGACCAGCCACACUGGACAUGAGACACGGUCAAGACUCUUACGGGAGGCAGCAGUGGGGAAUAUUGCACAAUGGGCGAAAGCCUGAGGCAGCAAUGCGGGGUGUAGGAAGAAGGCCUUCGGGUGGUAAAGUACUUUCAGCGGGGAGGCGUUACCAGCAGAAGAAGCACCGGCUAACUCCGUGCCAGCAGCCGCGGUAAUAC